AGACCCGCCUGAACUCUCCCUCCUCCCAGACUCCCCAAGAGAGGGGCUCCUGUUUGCUCAGGUCUCUCAGUCUAGGGUCGGGUUUGCUGUUAUCUGUAUGGAGACAGCCUCAAGUGACAAACAUGGAAGAUGUCGCCAAUAUGGUGGGGUAUGGGGGCUUGAACCGGCCAGUUUUAUACUGAGUCAAGACAACAUUUUCCCCAAACAGCCACGAGUGUUUUCUCCAAAGCUGAGAAGCCCCUCUCCCCCCAGCACCGGCCCAGCCACUUUGAAGCCAGCCAGCCCUUCAUCUGCACAUGUGGAAGAUAUAUUUAUGAGAGACCCAAGGCACUCAGCUCUGGCACAAGCAGCACCAGGGACUGGACUUGGGCUUCACACAGGAAAGUGCUUGUGCUCUAUCACAGAGCUCCCUCCAUGGCCCAGUUUCCAGGUGAUUUUAUAGGAGUGAGUCACCUAGUCUUGGUCCAUGAUUCAUGGAGCUUGUUUGGUGGUGAAAUGCAUAAUCGGUAAUAAA